CUUAUUUUUUCAAAAAAUCCUUUUUUGUUGGGCUUCCCUUUUUCAUUUAUCUCACUGGCUCUUUCUGUAUAACCUGCCUUUGCCUUGGUCCUUUGGGCUACAAUAAGGAUAGUGUUAGAAUUUUUUUAUAUUUAGUAUAUUUUUGAAAGCAAAGACAUUUUGGGGCUUUGUAUCAUUGUAAUCCUCAACCCAUGAGCCCUCCCAUUGCCACCAAUGGGACAUAAAUUUUCAUUUUUUUCAAAAGUGAGAUGAAAAUUCUAUUUGUAUAAGCGCCCCAUUUUCAGAAAUGGAAACAAAUAUGAAAAUGAGACAAAAUAAAUGAAACUUCACAAAACGAACAGCAAUUCCAUACAAAUACACAACACUAAUGGGAAUGCACUGAAGGGGGCAACUAUGAGACCAUCAGAACCAGUGCUUGACAAAGUUAUCACAGUUUUUGUUUUGUUUUGCACUUCAUCUCUUGACUGGCAAUUUCUUGGCCUUAGAAUAUAACAAGUAACUUCUCCAGGUGUGAAUAAGAAAAAUAUUCUCCUGAAAGAAAAAUGUGGACCGAGUAACAGAACAGUUGGAAAAAUUAGAGAAUUUGACUUGAAGGCAGCUGAUAAAUCAGUGUCUUGGUUUCUUACCUGUACAAGGGAUAUAUCUGACUUAAUUAUAAGGAUAAGUAAGAUGAAGCUAUGUUGAUAAUUUUGCAAUUAUUAUUAGAAAUAAAAAACUGUGUAAAUCUGUGCCAUCUUAUUGCUUUCAGACAAGGUCUAUUUCUGUGAAAAAAAUGAUUGCUGAUGAACAAAACAAUAGUCUUAGAAAUUAUGAAGACUUGGUUUAUGAAAUUUAUCUCAAUAUAUAUCCCUUUUGGCUCUUUCCAUAAUCAUUUUCUCACCAAAACUACAAUGCAGUGAAAAUAUCUGUUUUUGUUACAGCUUAUCAAUGACUUUUAAAAAAUGUAUUAUUUGCCUAUUGUGAUGGAUUCUGGCAGUUUGACCUGAAUAUAUUAAAAUAUUGUAAUGUUUUGUAACGUAUCCCAAGAUUUAAAAAAGAUAAAUAUUUCUUAAAAAAUCAGGACAUAUCUUAUUAGCUUUCCCUUUCAUGUCUCCGAUAAAGGUUUGUUUGACAGAGCGUAAGAUAGUGGUGAAAGCCUAAGGUAAAGGUUAAACUCUGUUUUAUUAUGUUUACAGGAUUUAAAGGGUAAAUCAGGAAGUGCUUAUUUAACGUCCAAGUGAAAGUGGUGGAUUAGCAACCAAACCGGGAUUUGAAAGCAGCCUUAAUCCUUAAAAAUCUUUGCAGGUGAAAGGUCACUCUUUUAACACCACAUCGAGUAAAGAAUGAAGCAGAUAAGAAGCCUCUGUUUCCUCCUUGCCCAGCUAAUCCACUGAGGAAAUGAGCAGCACUGUUUCUCAGCUACAUAAAUGACGGUUGAAACUGGGGAAACACUUGGAGAAUCACCAGGAAGUAAUUAAAGAAGGUUUAUUCUCUCUACUGAUAAUACCAAAAAGGGGUGUGUGUUUCUUAGAGACUUUUUUAAAAGUACUAUCCACAGUGAAUAAAAUAAAAUAUUCAUUUUCAUUCAUCUUGUCAUGUGUUAGGAUUAAAGGUCAAUACACAUGUUUAUUUUUGAGGCAGGAAUGUCUUCAGCUGGUGCCGUUGGCAUCCAGUUUCCCCCCAGAGACAAAGUAUGGGGGUGAAAUAGUCCUAAGGAAAAGGUCUACAUGGGGGGGGGGGGGGGUCAACAUUAAGACAUUUUUGAAAAUGUUGUGCUCAGAGAGGGUGACCAUAGAAGAUAUUGACAUAAUUCGGUUUCCAGUGGUUGGUUUUGCCCCUUGAUCCAGAAAUAAAACAAGGCUUAGCUCUCAAAGGCAUUGAUAGCAGUCUGGCUCCCACGGGCAAAAAAGGUGGUUGUAACUAACCUAUUGAGAAUCAGCUUUAAAAGGUUUUGUCACCAGAGAGUAGGCUUUACAGUCUUCUAUAAUACCUCAACUGCACAUUACAGUGAAUCAUAAAUCUUUCAGUGGCAGAAGUCUGUGUAUGUAGAGGGGGCAAAAUAUUGGGGAGAGCGCCAUUCCUUUUGUAUGUCUCUGUGUGCAUAGUCUUAGCAGCUACUAGAAGCUUACUUCUACUCCCUCCUUCCCAGAAUGAAGAGUUCCAGCUGCUCAUGGCCAGGGAACCACAGAGGUUCGAUUGUGUUAUUCAAAGCAGCCCCUGGUGGCGCAGCAGAUUAAACCACUGAGCUGCUGAACUUGCUGACUGAAAGGUCAGUGGUUCGAAUUCGGAGAGCGGCAUGAGGUCCCACUAUUAGCCCCAGCUUCUGCCAACCUAGCAGUUCAAAAACGUGCAAAUGUGAGUAGAUCGAUAGGUACUGCUUCAGCGGGAAGGUAACGGCGCUCCAUGCAGUCAUGCCGACCACAUAACCUUGGAGGUGUCUAUGGAGAACGCUGGCUCUUCAGCUUAGAAAUGGAGAUGAGCACCAACCCCCAGAGUCGGACACGACUGGACUUAAUGUCAGGGGAAAACCUUUACCUUCAUUAUUCAAAAAUGAGUGAAGUGUUUUGUUGCCCCUUGCUGCUCCUACCCCAUGCUCCUCUGGGACCUUCAUAUUCCUGCAUCCAUUCUGUGGAAAGCAGUGAUAUGAAGGAACUAAAGGAACCAAAUGAUGAGUGUCUAGAUCCAGGGAAGUCAUGUCACCCCUCUAUUCUGCCUUGGCCAGACCACACCUGGAAAACUGUGUCCAAUUCUGGGCACCACAAUUGAAGGGAGAUGUUGACAAACUGGAAAGCGUCCAGAGGAGGGCGACUAAAAUGAUCAAGGGUCUGGAGAACGAGCCCUAUGAGGAGCGGAUUAAAGAGCUGGGCAUGUUUAGCCUGCAGAAGAGAAGGCUGAGAGGAGACAUGAUAUAGCCAUGUCUCACUUUAGGGAGAUAAAACAAGGUAAUAAUAAUAAUAAUAAUAAUAAUAAUAAUAAUAAUAAUAAUAAUAAUAAUAAUAAUAAUAUCAUCAUCAUCAUCACCAUCAUCAUCAUCAGGAAGUGCUUUUUUUUGUCCAGUUAUUAUUAGAAGCACAGGUACAACAAUAUACUGAAACCAUAGCAGUGCAGUAGGCAUCAGGGCUGACCUUACUCUAAGGUGACAGUUGGUAAAAGGUGGACACAGACAUCAUUAUUCCCUGACCAUUCCUUCUAAAUUGCAUGGCCUUUUCACUCUGAUGUAGGACAGAACUGCAUGUAGCAAUCCACCUGUCCUACACCUUAAUUUUUUUAUAUUGAAAGCAGGGUGUAAUCCUAUAAUCCAGUCACUUGGAACAGGAUAUUCUAAUGUAUGUUACAUAACAGCAUUAAAAUAUUUGCCUUAAUGAAGGUCAAAAAUCUCAUUCAUUCAUGGUGUGAACUUCAGAUAUAAGGAAACAGCUGCAAUAAUUCUGAAAAAAUCUAUUUCUCAGCCAAACAUAUUUUGGAGAAGCAACAAAACCACUUUACUCCUGCUCACAGUUCCUUACCAUUCCAGAGUAGUUUCAAAAGGGAGCAAGAGCAGUGAAUGAAAAUAUAACUCCCCAAUCACCAUGGCUUUCCCUGGAAGGGAAUAAAAGUAUUUGCCAGAAAUAUAAUUGUUAUUAAUGCAUAGGUUGUAAUUCCUCCUAGGAAGCAUAGGAUUGUAACCAUACACAAUAACUUAUAUAUUAAAUGUUAAAACCUGCUGUUUUGUAAAUAUUAUCACCCCCUGAGUAGACAACCCUUAACUUUUCCUGAACAAUCAAUAUAGAACAAGAAAGCUAUUCCAUAUUUUAGCUACCAGAGAGACGUCUCACACAUAAUGGAAUAUAACAUUCUUUUCAAUAUUUAUACCAAGCCAACCAUUAUUAAAUCACAGGUAAAAAAAAAAAACAACGGUAAAAUUCUGCUGACGUUUCGUCAUAAAAUGGCAUAGGCAUUCGUCUUAUAAAAUUGUCUCAUGCAGACUGAUAAACUGUGCUCCUUUUGGACAUAUAUGGAUCUGAUGUGCUUUUUUUCCUUGCCUCAGGUGGUUAUGACACAUUCAGCUGUUAACUUAUGCAGUUCAUUUUCUUCCCAUACAGAACCUGUGGUUAAGCAUUAUGUUUCAUAUGUGGGAUGAUAUUACUUUUUUUGCUAUAAAAAUAAUCCCACAGAGUGCUUUGCAUGCAAUAUGAAGAUUAUUUGAGUUGCAUGCUUUUGCAUCACACUUGUAAUUUUUCCCAGCAGUUGUACUUAUCUAAGUUUUUCAUUUUGAUGCAAGAUUGUGUUUAAGCACUUUUUUUUAAGAAAUAAAAGAAUUAUUUUGAACAAGAUGCACCUAUCUCAUACACAGAUAUUGCAUACAGUUGAUCCAGGGGCUUCUGGAACUUGUAGUUCCAAAAGUGCUGGUGCCUCUCCAAACUACAGCUUCUAGGAUCCCAUAGCCUUGAGCCAUGGCAGUUCAAGGGGUGACAAACCACAUUAAUUAUUCAGAGUGGAAACACCCCUUGUCAUCUAUACAGCAACCCAUUAAACAUAAGAAUUGGUAUCCAAUGAAAGUGAGGGAGUGAAAAGCUGUAUGACUAAAUGGGCAAUGAAUAUCAGUAGAUCCAUAGGCUGAAGCGAAUGGGAGUUCAUGUGGAAUAAAAAAUUGAAGUAUACAUAUGCAACGGAAUUAAAAGAAAAUUGUUAUAAAAUGUUCCACCGCUGGUUAAUGAUUCCACAAAAAUUAGGAAUUAUGUAUAAGAACACAAAUAAUAAAUGUUGGAAAUGUGAGGGCUCUUUUUACCACAUGUGGUGGACCUGUGGAAAAGCAAUGGAUAUUGGAGAAUGAUACAUGAAAUAUAUAUAAAAAAAUCUUUAAAAUAAAAAUUCAAAUGAAGCCGAAUAUUUUCUACUAGGAAUUACAGAUGCAGUAAUUGACCUAGACAGCAACAAAGAUAUACUAUUCAUGUAUUUGACAACUGCAGCAAGGAUAACUUAUACUAGAUACUCGGAAACAGAAGAAUUUCCAACCAAAGAUUAAUGGUUAGACAAAAUGCGAGAAAUAAUGGACAUGAAUAGAUUAACCUUCUUAAUGAAAAGACACACAGGAAGACCAAUCAAACCAACUGACUGGAGGCUUUUUGAAAAGUACAUGAACGUGUAUAGAAAACUAUUAAAUAGAGACGAAUAUAUGAAGAAAGGAAGAACUUUAAAUUUAGGAGGACGAAAAAGGGACAAACGGUUCUGGUCCAACUUACCUGUCCGAACAUUUCUCCUCCUAUGAGCCUAUUAGAACUUUCGGCCCCAUCUGCCACACAAACACGACUGGUGGGGACGGGAGAACAGGGCCUUCUCAGGGCUCCUCGGCUGUGGAACUCCCUCCCCAGUGACAUCCGGUAGGCUCCAUCGCUUCUGGGUUUUAGAAAGAAACUAAAUACCUGGCUAUGUGCACGUGCGUUCAGUGAAUAAGCUUUUACGGCUUCGACACGGUCUGGAUCAAGGUUUUUGGACGAAUUGAUGUAUGCAUUUUAUAUGUUUUAAGUUUGUAUACUGUCUCAUGGAGCCUCCGGUGGCUCAGUGUGUUAAAGCGCUGAGCUGCUGAGCUUGCAGACCGAAAGGUCCCAGGUUCAAACCCGGGGAGCGGAGUGAGCACCUGCUGUUAGCUCCAGCUUCUGCCAACCUAGCAGUUUGAAAACAUGCAAAUGUGAGUAGAUCAAUAGGUACCGCUCCAGCGGGAAGGUAACGGCGUUCCAUGCAGUCAUGCUGGCCACAUGACCUUGGAGGUGUCUAUGGACAACGCCGGCUCUUUGACUUAGAAAUGGAGAUGAGCACCUACCCCCAGAGUCGGACACAACUGGACUUAACGUCAGGGGAAACCUUUACCUUUACCUUACCUUAUGCUGUCUCAUGUGUUUUAAUGCCUAAUGUAAAUUGUUUUUUAACCGCUUUAUGUUUUAUUGGAGUGCAUUGUUCUUUUAUUGGCAUUGCCAGAUCUGUAAGCCACCUUGAGUCCCUUCGGGUGAGAAAGGCGGUAUAGAAAUGACGAAAAUAAAUAAAUACAUAAGAUAA